AGUGAACGCUGGCGGUAGGCCUAACACAUGCAAGUCGAACGGCAGCACAGUAAGAGCUUGCUCUUACGGGUGGCGAGUGGCGGACGGGUGAGGAAUACAUCGGAAUCUACUUUUUCGUGGGGGAUAACGUAGGGAAACUUACGCUAAUACCGCAUACGACCUACGGGUGAAAGCAGGGGAUCUUCGGACCUUUCGCGAUUGAAUGAGCCGAUGUCGGAUUAGCUAGUUGGCGGGGUAAAGGCCCACCAAGGCGACGAUCCGUAGCUGGUCUGAGAGGAUGAUCAGCCACACUGGAACUGAGACACGGUCCAGACUCCUACGGGAGGCAGCAGUGGGGAAUAUUGGACAAUGGGCGCAAGCCUGAUCCAGCCAUGCCGCGUGGGUGAAGAAGGCCUUCGGGUUGUAAAGCCCUUUUGUCGGGAAAGAAAAGCAGCAGGUUAAUACCCCGCUGUUCUGACGGUACCCAAAGAAUAAGCACCGGCUAACUUCGUG
rnacentral:rRNA from 1 species